ACUGAAUAUCUGCUGUGUUGGAUAGGCUAUCUGACCAUCACUGCACUGUAAGGUUGAAGAUGUUGUAGAUAAAAGCAGUCUGAGUUGAUUUAAGGUCAGUGCAGGUCAUUCAUACUUCAUCAGACUAAAAUACAGAUCAAUUUUAGUUUGAUAGUAGUAAAAAUAGUCAUGUUGAUCCUAGAUUAUUGAAGAUUUUUUCUGAGAAAUGAUUAAAUUGUUCGCAAAAGUGUAACUAAAGGUUACACUAUGCUAUCAAAAUCAUAUUCCGUUAUAAACUAUGUCUUUUUUGUUGUAGGUAAUGUCAGUCUGAGGUGGAUGCAUCAAGUUUAUUUAUGGUCACAUACAUCAUCAGACUAAAAUACUGAUCAAUUUUAGUUUGAUAGUAGUAAAAAUAGUUGUGUUAAUCCUAGAUUAUUAAACAUUCUACUUGAGAAAUGUCUAAAUUGUUAGUAAAACUGUAAUGAAAGGUUACACAAUGCUACAGAAAUCUUCUUUGUUGUAGGUAAUAUCAGUCUGAGGUGGAAUUCAAGUUUAUUUAAGGUCACCGCAGGUCACUCAUAUUUCAUCAGACUAAAAUGUUGAUCAAUUUUCAUUUGAUAGUAGUAAAGAUUAUUAAAGAUUGUAUCUGAGAAAUGAUUAAAUUGUAUUAAGAGUGCUACACAAUGCUAUGAAAAUGGUAUUACAUUAUAAACUAUAUCUUAGCAGCUAUGAUAAAGGUGCACAGGUUUGUAAACACUAAUGUAACCGCCCAGUGAUUAAUGCAAAAUUAAUCUUUACACUUCACAGCUGGAAUAGCCUGUCUGCAAAAAAAUAUUUCACUGUUUAUUAAUACACUGAAUACUUACAGCACCAUGCAUCCAUUUGCAUAACAUCUUAGUAAAUGCAUCAGUUUAUUUUUUCAUCACAUCUGACAAGUGCUUCUCUGGGGAUGUUUGCAUAAACACAUGUACAUUUGGUAUCUCAGGCACCAAAGAUCCUCCCAGCAGUAUGCAUUAAGCAGUCAGGUUACUCAACACGCAAUCCUUUAGAAAGACUGAGUGGCCUUUGGGAUGUUUUAAUGGUGACUUGAGCUAUCACUCAGAAUAACUUUCACUGAAUCUUGAGUUGCACCUGUUGCGUGAACUGCUUUAAAAUACCAGACUUGACAGACACUAAACACAGGCUGCUCUGAGUUUUCACCCUGAGCAUACAAACAACUUUUACCCAGCAACACGUUUUGCUCUGAGACCAGUCUGCGACCUCUUGAUAGCCACUAUUAAUAUCACCUCUCACAUUGAGGUGACUCAUGUGUCUGUGACGCCUCACUGAAAUUCACGAUCAUUAUGAUCCCGGUACACUGUGGUAACAUAAGCAACACAACCUUGUUGACCCCGUACUGCAUAGAGACAAGGGUAAUGAGAUUAGCCGUGCAUGUGUGUGACCGUCGUUUGUGACGUCUCCUCUCCAGAUUGCGCGUGUGCACAGCUUUCAGGAUCUGUAGUUCAUGUGACAAAAUCACUGCAGUUAGGAAAGUGAGGAUUACUGGGCAGGGUGGUUGGGUUCACAGAGCAGUUCGUUUAGGACAGGAGUUAGAAACUAUGAGCUUAUGCACAAGAAAAUACAAUGCAUUAUCAGUGAUCAGUAAUGGUUUUACCAAGUUAUUUUAAUUCACAGGAAUAAAUGGCUGUAGACAAUGUUCUAAUCUCCAGAAAUAUUUACAUUUUUGCAUUGUUGUGCUUUGCUUAUCUGAAGAAUGUGUCUAAAACCACUGAUCACGCAGCUUAUAAUCAACUUUUUAGUCCGUUUUCCUGAUGGUCAGGUAUAAACUUGUCACUCUAAAUGAAAAUUUGCAAUACUCAAAUAAAAUGGCAUAUAAAAAUCCCCAAUUAUUCUGCAUUAGACUGCUAUCCAUUGCUUACUGUAUGAUUAUAAAUAUACAUUUGGUUCUUUAUUUAACAAACAAAUGCAAAUUUUAGUCAAACUUCAUAGUCAUUUUUCUUAAUCUUAUACAGUAGGUAGCCACCUAGACCAUUUGUUGGAACAGUUAAACAUUAAAAAUGCAAAAAAAAAAAAAAAAAAAAAA